rfam:Octopus bimaculoides Scaffold73760_contig_42, whole genome shotgun sequence.
GUACCAUCCUCGGUUGUACAUAUUCUAAAAUUGGAAGAAUACAGAGAAGAUUAUCAUGGCGCCGCGUAAAUUGACACAGAAAUCGAUGGAGCGUUCCCUAUUUUU